UAUUUUGACUAUACAAAGGUAUUGUAAUAAGAUUUUAAUUGAAUGCUAAAAGAAUGGAAAUUUAAAAAAAAACUUUUUUAAAAAUAAAAAUUGAAUUUUUUUUAAUUUGUGCAAAAACAAUUAUACUUAUUAAAGACAAGAAGACCCUAAGAAUUUAAGAUUUUACAAUUAAAAAGUUUUUUUUUAAAAUCUUGAUUGGGGCGAUCAAAAAAUAUUAAUAACUUUUUAAAAUUUAAAUUGAUCUAUUAUUAAUAAACUAAUGAAUUAAAUACUCUAGGGAUAACAGCGUAAUAAUUUUUGAUAGAUCUUAUUGACAAAAUAGUUUGCGACCUCGAUGUUGGAUUAGGAUUCUUUUUUAAUGAAGAAGUUAAAAAAAGAAGUUUGUUCAACUUUUAAAUUCCU
rnacentral:rRNA from 1 species